rnacentral:rRNA from 1 species
CUGCCGUGAGUGAUGAUGUUUCGAUCGUAAAGCUUCUGUUGUUAGGAAGGACAAGUGCAAGAGUACUGCUUGCACCUUGACGUACCUAACCAGAAAGCCACGGCUAACUACGUGCCAGCAGCCGCGGUAAUACGUAGGUGGCGAGCGUUGUCAGGAAUUAUUGGGCGUAAAGUGCUCGCAGGCGGCUUCUUAAGUCUGAUGUGAAAGCCCCCGGCUCAACCGGGGAGGGUCAUUGGAAACUGGAAACUGAGUGCAGAAGAGGAGAGUGGAAUUUCCACGUGUAGCGGUGAAAUGCGUAGAGAUGUGGAGGAACACCAGUGGCGAAGGCGACUCUCUGGUCUGUAACUGACGCUGAGGAGCGAAAGCGUGGGGAGCGAACAGGAUUAGAUACCCUGGUAGUCCACGCCGUAAACGAUGAGUGCUAAGUGUUAGGGGGUUUCCGCCCCUUAGUGCUGCAGCUAACGCAUUAAGCACUCCGCCUGGGGAGUACGGUCGCAAGACUGAAACUCAAAGGAAUUGACGGGGGCCCGCACAAGCGGUGGAGCAUGUGGUUUAAUUCGAAGCAACGCGAAGAACCUUACCAGGUCUUGACAUCCUCUGACAACCCUAGAGAUAGGGCUUUCCCUUCGGGGACAGAGUGACAGGUGGUGCAUGGUUGUCGUCAGCUCGUGUCGUGAGAUGUUGGGUUAAGUCCCGCAACGAGCGCAACCCUUGAUCUUAGUUGCCAGCAUUUAGUUGGGCACUCUAAGGUGACUGCCGGUGACAAACCGGAGGAAGGUGGGGAUGACGUCAAAUCAUCAUGCCCCUUAUGACCUGGGCUACACACGUGCUACAAUGGACAGAACAAAGGGCUGCGAGACCGCAAGGUUUAGCCAAUCCCACAAAUCUGUUCUCAGUUCGGAUCGCAGUCUGCAACUCGACUGCGUGAAGCUGGAAUCGCUAGUAAUCGCGGAUCAGCAUGCCGCGGUGAAUACGUUCCCGGGCCUUGUACUACCACCCG